rnacentral:tRNA from 1 species
GCUAACGUGGCAGAGACCGGUAAUUGCAAAAGCUCUAAGACCUUUUUUCCGGGGGUUCAAUUCCCCCCGCUAGCU